rnacentral:rRNA from 1 species
UACAGAGGGUGCAAGCGUUAAUCGGAAUUACUGGGCGUAAAGCGUGCGUAGACGGUAGCGUAAGUCGGAUGUGAAAUCCCGGGGCUCAACCCCGGAACUGCAUUCGAUACUGCUGCGCUAGAGUACUGGAGAGGAGAUUGGAAUUUACGGUGUAGCAGUGAAAUGCGUAGAUAUCGUAAGGAAGACCAGUGGCGAAGGCGGAUCUCUGGACAGUUACUGACACUGAGGCACGAAGGCCAGGGGAGCAAACGGG